AAUGAACGUUGGCGGCGUGGAUUAGGCAUGCAAGUCGUACGGAGGUAGCAAUACCUUAGUGGCGAAAGGGAUAGGACAAUAUAGAUCAUCUGCCCCCGAGUCGCGGAUAGCUACGGGAAACUGUAGGUAAUACGCGAUAAUCUCUCAGGAGCAAAGGUGUGAUUCCGCUUGGGGAUGAGUCUAUAGCCUAUUAGCUAGUUGGCGGGGUAAUGGCCCACCAAGGCUAUGAUGGGUACGAGGCGUGAGAGCGUGUCCUCGAUCACUGGGACUGAGACACUGCCCAGACACCUACGGGUGGCUGCAGUCGAGAAUCUUCGGCAAUGGACGAAAGUCUGACCGAGCGACGCCGCGUGAGCGAUGAAGGUCUUCGGAUUGUAAAGCUCUGUAAGUUGGGAGGAAAUGUAUGGGGGUUCUCCCCUGUACUUGACCUAUCUUCAAAGUAAGGACGGGCUAAGUUCGUGCCAGCCGCCGCCGGUAACAC
rnacentral:rRNA from 1 species